rnacentral:rRNA from 1 species
CUACGGAGGGGGCUAGCGUUGUUCGGAAUUACUGGGCGUAAAGCGUACGUAGGCGGACUGAUCAGUUGGGGGUGAAAUCCCAGGGCUUAACCCUGGAACUGCCUUCAAUACUGUCAGUCUUGAGAUUGGAAGAGGUGAGUGGAAUUCCUAGUGUAGAGGUGAAAUUCAUAGAUAUUAGGAGGAACACCAGUGGCGAAGGCGGCUAACUGGUCCAAUACUGACGCUGAGGUACGAAAGCGUGGGGAGCAAACAGGAUUAGAUACCCUAGUAGUCC